UACAGAGGUCUCAAGCGUUGUUCGGAUUCAUUGGGCGUAAAGGGCUCGUAGGCGGCCAACUAAGUCAGAUGUGAAAUCCCCGGGCUUAACCUGGGAACUGCGUUUGAAACUGGAAGGCUAGAGUGUGGCAGAGGGGGGUGGAAUUCCACGUGUAGCAGUGAAAUGCGUAGAUAUGUGGAGGAACACCGAUGGCGAAGGCAGCCCCCUGGGCUAACACUGACGCUCAUGCACGAAAGCGUGGGGAGCAAACAGG
rnacentral:rRNA from 1 species